GGUUAAGCGACUAAGCGUACACGGUGGAUGCCCUGGCAGUCAGAGGCGAUGAAGGACGUGCUAAUCUGCGAAAAGCGUCGGUAAGGUGAUAUGAACCGUUAUACCGGCGAUGUCCGAAUGGGGAAACCCAGUGCAAUUCGUCACACUAUCGUUAACUGAAUACAUAGGUUAACGAGGCGAACCGGGGGAACUGAAACAUCUAAGUAC
rnacentral:rRNA from 1 species